CACUGCUCUGACGGAUGCUUUUAUUAGACCAAGCCGCUGAGGACUUGAGGGUUCGCUCUCCUGUCUGACUCGUGUAAUGGUGACUCUGGAUAACCAAUUCUGACAAGCGCACGUACUUCUCUUCUGAGCGAGACGGCGCUGCCACUUUCGAGUGUCUGCCUUAUCAGCUAUCAACCGUUCGUUAUGCGCGACCGAUGGCUUUGACGGGUAACGGGGAAUCAGGGUUCGAUUCCGGAGAGGCAGCCUGAGAGACGGCUACCACGUCCAAGGACGGCAGCAGGCACGCAAAUUACCCAAUCCCAGCAAAUGGGGGAGGUAGUGACGAAAUCUAACGAUGCGGGCGCCCUUUCUGGGGCCCCGCAAUCGGAAUGGGCACUUUCUAAACAACCUGUUGAGAACCUACUGAAGGGCAAGUCUGGUGCCAGCAGCCGCGGUAAUUCCAGCUUCAGCAGCAUCUAUUAAAGUUGCUGCGGUUAAAAGGCUCGCAGUUGAAUGUCUGUAUCGAGCGCAGGUCAGGUGGACGUUGGGGCGUGGAAGUACGGGCAGUUGGAUGUCCGUGGGGCCUUCGUGCUCAACGGCUCCUUCGGCUUUUCCACACACCCCCGUCCGUGACAAGCCUCCUCGCUCGGGUACAUAACGGGAAUCGGUCAAACGGAGUGUGGUUGGAGGUUGGGGUGCGUGGCUUCUGUUGCGUGCUUCUUCUUUCGGCUGCGUUAAGCUCCAUCGGUUUCACGGUCACCUUGAGUAAAUCAGAGUGCUCAAAGCAGUCGUAGGGGCCUUGCGCCCUGUGAACAGUCUUGACGGACUGACUUGGUUUUGCAUGGCAUGUCGGAAGACGACGUCGUGUGCUGGCUCAGAGGAUAAAUCAGUGGUACAAGCCAGCCUCGACGUAAUGAUUAAAAGGGACGGUCGAGGGCAUUGGUAUUGCGAGGCGAGAGGUGAAAUUCUGUGACCCCCGCAAGACCUCCUGAAGCGAAAGCGUCUGCCAAGGACGUUUU
rnacentral:rRNA from 5 species